rnacentral:lncRNA from 1 species
UUCUAUAUACUUGUUUCUUUGGUUCAGUGAAUCUGACAUGUUAACAAAGUUUACUUGGCAAUGGUGCAGGAGUUAAUCGAGUUAGGGGCAGUCACAUUUUUGGUCCCUGGAAACCUUCCAAUCGGAUGCUCACCAGCAUAUCUAACAUAUUUUCAGGGUUCAGAUAAAGGUUCAGAUAAAGGAGAAUAUGAUCCCUUAACCUGUUGUUUAACAUGGCUGAACCAGUUCUCUGAGUACCACAAUGAAUUGCCUCAGCAAGAACUUGAUCAAAUCCGCGAGCUUCAUCCCCAUGUCAACAUCAUUUAUGCAGACUAUUACAACAUUGCAAUGCGUUUCUACCAUUUCCCAGACCAAUUUGGUACUUCCAUAGUUUCAACUGUCUUACAAAAUAUUUCAAGCUUAUCGUAUCCAAACUAAUGUUAUAGAGGGAUAUUAAUUAAUUCUCAUCAUGGUCAUCAAAUGUUGGCUUGUUUACAUGAACUUUUUCCUCUUUCUGCAUGAUUCCAGGGUUUACAAAAACAAUAGUAGCAUGUUGUGGAAGGGGAGUUCCCUACAAUUACAGCUCAUCCAUGGCUUGUGGUGAUCCACCAUUGAGAAGCAGCUGCGAUGACCCUUCUUCAUAUGUUAGCUGGGAUGGUGUGCAUUUCACUGAAGCAACCUACAGAUGGAUCUCCAAGGCUGUGUUAAAAGAACUAUUCACCAUUCCUUACAGAAACAGCUUAUGUCUUCCAUUGACAGUGAACAACAAAUUCAUUAGUAGCUGAGAUACUAAGGUGUUGAUUAUUUAUUUUCUCCGAAUAUUAGAGUAUCAGAUGUCAAUUUAAAUGAAAAAAAAAAGAAGAAUUCAUUGGAAUUAAUUUGAUAUAUAUAUGAGUUACUAAAAUCUUUGUUUCUGGUUUUUGGUUGAUGAUAAUCGGCCUCUCUGGCAGUGAUCAACAUCACUUUUGAUGAAUCCAACUUACUUUGAUUUGGAAUGCUUAUUAAAUUCAUCAAAUCAAGUUAUCUUUCCUUUCAUCUUAUAUAUUUUCCUCAUUCAGCUCUUUGAACUAGGAAAAGAACUGUCGAUCCAUUUUGCAAUAGAUAUUCAUCAUGCCUGCAAGUAGGCAGUAGUAAAAACACAAUAUCAUGCUCUUUAAUGAGAGCAUUUCAUUUUCUCCUCUCAUGUUGUUGAUUCAUUUCAUUGCAGAGAGAUUAUGCAUUUGUCAUUAAAUCAAAUGUUCGGACGGUAUAAGUUUUUUAUAUGAAAAAAAUAGUUAAAUAUUACUUAAAUUUGAAAGCAAUCAGCCUUCAAAAGAAAAUAUCAAAUGCAAUUAACAGGGCAUUGCCAUGGGGGACCAAGUUCUGCAUAGGCUUUUAAUUAGUUCUUCAUGGAGGCAACAACUCCAAGAAAUACACGUGGGGUUUUGUUUGGUACAUAAUACACAAACAAACUCGUGGCAUUGUGAUUGUAACAAAUACCUACCAGUCCAUAGGCAUAGUGUAGGGGUAACACAAUACCAAAAUUCUUCUGCAACUUUUUCUUCUUACAUUCAUGGCUAAUCCUUUUUCGUCUUCUUCAUCAUGUUCCUUGUUGAACUUGAAACAGCAUUUCAUUGUUAGCUUUCUCUUUGUCACCUUUACCAUAAUUACACAUGUGAAUGGAUGUUUCACGUCAAUCUUCAGCUUUGGUGAUUCCUUUGCUGACACCGGAAACUUUCUUCAAAUUUCACUUUCAGAACACAGCGAGCUUCCUCAAAGUGCUUUCCCUCCAUACGGACGGACCUUUUUUCAUCAUCCAACAGGGCGAUUCUCUGAUGGCCGGCUGGUUAUAGAUUUCAUUGGUGGGUGAGCAUGCUUUGGUUAUGCUAAGAUUAUUAUGGUUUUCAUUUAUUUUCAUGGUUUUGCAGCUGAGGAUUUUAGAUUACCGUUUUUACCACCGUAUUUUGGAGGUGAAAAUGGAAGAUCAAAUAACUUUCAGAAGGGUGUGAAUUUGGCUGUGGCGGGUGCUACUGCACUUGAUGAUGAGAUUCUCAAAGAAAGAGGAAUCACUAAUCCCGCCACAAACGUUACUUUGGGAGUCGAAUUGGGGUUUUUCAGAGAUGUUUUGUCAUCUCUCUGCUCAUCUUCUUCAGGUGAAUUGUCAUAUCCUUUACAUAUGGUGUUUGGUAGAAAGGAAAAGAAAGAAUAGAAGUAUUUUUAUGAAGGACAAACUGUUCCACUUACUCUAAUAUGAACCAAUUCUUUGAUUGUUAUGGGAGAGAUUGACAGAUUGCAGAAAGCUCCUUAGCAACUCUUUGAUUGUUAUGGGAGAGAUCGGGGGAAAUGAUUACAAUUUCGCAUUCGAGGAAGGGAAAAGCAAUGAGGAGACUCGAGAGCUUGUUCCUCUAGUUAUUGAUACCAUAGCUUCAGCAAUCCAUGUAAGAAAACUGCCUGCCAGCGUGUUAAAAAUCUUGAUAAAUUUGCUGAUAUCGUUAACAUAUUUUAGUAGGCAAGGCAAUGCAGGAGUUGAUUGAGUUAGGGGCAGUCACAUUUUUGGUCCCUGGAAACCUACCAAUUGGAUGCUUCCCAUCAUGUCUGACAAACUUUGAGGGUUCAGAUGAGGAAGAAUAUGAUCCCUUAACCGGUUGUCUAACAUGGCUGAACCACUUCUCUGAGUACCACAAUCAAUUGCUUCAAGAAGAACUUGCUAGAAUCCAGGAGAUUCAUCCCCAUGUCAACAUUGUUUAUGCAGAUUAUUACAGUGCUGCAAUUCGUUUCUACCUUUCUCCAA